GGAAGUCUGGUGCCAGCAGUCGCGGUAAUUCCAGCUCCAAUAGCGUAUAUUAAAGUUGUUGCAGUUAAAAAGCUCGUAGUUGAAUUUCGAGAUCAGUACGCUGGUCGUGCCUUCGGUAUGCACUGGUGUCACUGGUUUCUCCCUUCUGAAGAACCGUCAUGCCAUUCAGUUGGUGUGGCGGGGAAUCAGGACUGUUACUUUGAAAAAAUUAGAGUGUUUAAAGCAGGCUCGCGCUUGAAUACAUUAGCAUGGAAUAAUGAAAUAGGACGUUUGACCCUAUUUUGUUGGUUUCUAGGAUCGACGUAAUGAUUAAUAGGGAUAGUUGGGGGCAUUAGUAUUCAAUUGUCAGAGGUGAAAUUCUUGGAUUUAUUGAAGACUAACUACUGCGAAAGCAUUUGCCAAGGAUGUUUUCAUUAAUCAAGAACGAAAGUUAGGGGAUCGAAGACGAUCAGAUACCGUCGUAGUCUUAACCAUAAACUAUGCCGACUAGGGAUCGGAUGAUGUUAAUUUUUUAAUGACUCAUUCGGCGCCUUACGGGAAAC
rnacentral:rRNA from 1 species